rnacentral:rRNA from 1 species
UACGUAGGGUGCAAGCGUUAAUCGGAAUUACUGGGCGUAAAGCGUGCGCAGGCGGUUUGUUAAGACAGAUGUGAAAUCCCCGGGCUUAACCUGGGAACUGCAUUUGUGACUGGCAAGCUAGAGUAUGGCAGAGGGGGGUAGAAUUCCACGUGUAGCAGUGAAAUGCGUAGAGAUGUGGAGGAAUACCGAUGGCGAAGGCAGCCCCCUGGGCCCAAUACUGACGCUCAUGCACGAAAGGCGUGGGGAGCAAACAGGAUUAGAGUACCC